GCUUUUGUAGUAUAAUUUAGUUACUUGAGUUUUGUAGUCUUAAAGUCCAGUUGUUGGUGAAAGCU
rnacentral:tRNA from 1 species